GACGAACGCUGGCGGCGUGCUUAACACAUGCAAGUCGAGCGAGGCCCCUCCUUCGGGAGGGUGUCCUAGCGGCGAACGGGUGAGUAACACGUGGGCAACCUGCCCUCAGCUCUGGGAUAACUCCGGGAAACCGGGGCUAAUACCGGAUACGACCUCCACGGGCAUCUGCGGAGGUGGAAAGUUUUUCGGCUGAGGAUGGGCCCGCGGCCUAUCAGCUAGUUGGUGGGGUAGUGGCCCACCAAGGCGACGACGGGUAGCCGGCCUGUGAGGGCGACCGGCCACACGGGGACUGAGACACGGCCCAGACUCCUACGGGAGGCAGCAGUGGGGAAUAUUGCGGAAUGGGAGAAAGCCUGACGCAGCGAAGCCGCGUGAGGGACGAAGGCCUUCGGGUUGUAAACCUAUUUCAGCAGGGACGAAGAGAAAGUGACGGUACCUGCAGAAGAAGCACCGGCCAACUACGUG
rnacentral:rRNA from 1 species